rnacentral:rRNA from 1 species
AUUCCAGCUUCAGUAGCGUAUAUUAAAGUUGUUGCAGUUAAAAAGCUCGUAGUCGCAUUUCUGGCGAGAGGAAUUGGUCCGACAUUUAUUGUGGGUACUCGAUUCUCUCUCGCCAUCCUUGAGUGGUCCGUUCUGGCAUUUAGUUGUCGGAGCGUCAGCCGCUCAUCGUUUACUGUGAGAAAAUUAGAGUGUUCAAAGCAGGCUUAUGCCGUUGAAUAUAUUAGCAUGGAAUAAUAAGAUAGGACCUCGGUGCUAUUUUGUUGGUUUGCGCACAGAGGUAAUGAUGAACAGGGACAGUUGGGGGUAUUUGUAUUUCGUUGUCAGAGGUGAAAUUCUUAGAUUUACGAAAGACAAACUACUGCGAAAGCAUUUACCAAGGAUGUUUUCAUCG